rnacentral:rRNA from 1 species
AUUGAACGCUGGCGGCAGGCCUAACACAUGCAAGUCGAGCGGAGCGGCGGACGGGUGAGUAAUGCCUAGGAAUCUGCCUGGUAGUGGGGGAUAACGUCGGGAAACGGGCGCUAAUACCGCAUACUAUCAGAUGAGCCUAGGUCGGAUUAGCUAGUGGGCGGGGUAAAGGCCUACCAAGGAGACGAUGCGUAACUGGUCUGAGAGGAUGAUCAGUCACCCUGGAACUGAGACACGGUCCAGACUCCUACGGGAGGCAGCAGUGGGGAAUAUUCGACAAUGGUCUAAAGCCUGAUCCAGCCAUUCCGCGUGUGUGACGAAGGUCUUCGGAUUGUAAAGCACUUUAGGUUGGGAUGCGUUACCAACAGAAUAAGCACCGGCUAACUUCGUGCCAGCAGCCGCGGUAAUAC